rnacentral:rRNA from 1 species
AGGACGAACGCUGGCGGCGUGCUUAACGCAUGCAAGUCGAGCGACGCUCUUCCUUCGGGAGGAUGACGGAGCGGCGAACGGGUGAGUAACACGUGGGCAACCUGCCCCUAGCUCUGGGAUAACCCCGGGAAAUCGGGACUAAUACCGGAUAUGAAGUCGGACGGCAUCGUCUGACUUGGAAAGUUUUUCGGCUAGGGAUGGGCCCGCGGCCUAUCAGCUUGUUGGUGGGGUAAUGGCCUACCAAGGCGACACGGGUA